rnacentral:tRNA from 1 species
GUACAUCGAGGCCUGCGGGCUCGCGCCGUCGAACGUCGCCGGCGCGCUCGGCGCGCGCGCGGGCCUGUUCGAGGCGGGCGAAGUGCGC